rnacentral:rRNA from 1 species
UACGUAGGGCGCAAGCGUUGUCCGGAAUUAUUGGGCGUAAAGAGCUCGUAGGCGGUUUGUCGCGUCUGCUGUGAAAACCUGAGGCUCAACCUCGGGCUUGCAGUGGGUACGGGCAGACUAGAGUGGCGGUAGGGGUGACUGGAAUCCUGGUGUAGCGGUGGAAUGCGUAGAUAUCAGGGAGGAACACCUGCGGGUGUGAGACGGCUUAC